GAUCCUGGCUCAGGAUGAACGCUAGCUACAGGCUUAACACAUGCAAGUCGAGGGGCAGCAUGGUCUUAGCUUGCUAAGGCCGAUGGCGACCGGCGCACGGGUGAGUAACGCGUAUCCAACCUGCCUUACACUCUUGGACAGCCUUCUGAAAGGGAGAUUAAUACAAGAUGUUAUCAUGGGUAAGCAUUUUCGCAUGAUUAAAGGUUUACCGGUGUAAGAUGGGGAUGCGUUCCAUUGG
rnacentral:rRNA from 1 species